rnacentral:rRNA from 1 species
UACAGAGGUCCCAAGCGUUGUUCGGAUUUACUGGGCGUAAAGGGUGCGUAGGUGGCGGGGUAAGUCUGGUGUGAAAGCUCCGAGCUCAACUCGGAAAAGCAUUGGAAACUAUCCCGCUUGAGGGUCGGAGGGGAGACUGGAAUUCUCGGUGUAGCAGUGAAAUGCGUAGAUAUCGAGAGGAACACCAGUGGCGGAGGCGAGUCUCUGGACGACUCCUGACACUGAGGCACGAAAGCUAGGGGAGCAAACAGG